UUUCUGCAUUAGGUCUACUUGGACAGAGUGACUGUCCCAUUGUCUGAACAAACCCCUGCACUCUGGCAGUGAGUGGUCUUCAACCUAAAGCCACUUCUCUCUGCUCAUGCAUGAGAUUGCUGCCCACAUGUCUACCAGUCAUGCCAGGUCUGUGUGGACCUUAUGGUCAGAUCUUCCUCCCAAAUGAACAUCCACAUCCGACUGUCUGCUGGACAUCUUUCCUUGGAUUUACAACAGAUACCAGCGUGGCUUACCAUCUGUUCUUGGAGGUUCUUGCUCAAUGUCCCCUUAUAGGAGAAGCCUUCCUUCCCUGAGCAUCCUUUAUGAAGUGGCAAUGACAUCCAUCCCUCAGCAACUGCAGUAUUUACUUUUUCUGAUUCAUUUUUCUCCAUUUCACUAAUUGGCUCAUGGCAUAUUGCAUAUUCGUUUAUUGUCUGUCUCCUUUGAUUAAAUGUAAGAUACAUGAGAGCAGGGGGAAGUGUCAGCUUUAUUCACUGUUGUAUCCUUGCUGCUUGAGUGUUUCCUGGCAUAGCGGCUUCCUAAUAUGAUUUUGUUGAAUGAAAGAAUAAGCAAUAAGUUCUAUCAGAACAAAGAUAAAGAUAGAGGACGCAAGUCAAAGCUGGCUAGGGCCGGUGCCCAGAUGAUUAGCGUAGAGGACAUCUAUUUUUUCUUGCCCAGUAUCUAUUUUGCUGCCUUUUAAUACCAGCAGACUAAUUUUUCUUUUGCUGCAAAUCCUUCCCCCAUCAUAAAAACGCAGAUGGCAUGGCCAAGAAAGUUCACAGGCUCUCCCUUGUAGAGGUUUGGUGUCUGUUCCAAAUCAUACCAAGAUCAGAUGUUCUCCUGGAAUUUCAAUUUUGAGUGGGAUGACAAGGUCUGAAAACUGGGGGAGCUUAUUCACCCUGAUGGUGGUUUCCAGUGUGUACCCCAAGAGCUCUUUGACUUUGUUUGACAUUGCUGAAUCCUAGAGUUUUUUCAGCCUUCCUUUGGUUCUCUUAGUUAGACCUAUCCUGCCAGUUAGUAUGCUUUUUUUACUUUUAGUCAGAGUUUGUUUCUACUGUUUUCAGUUCAAGUAUCCCAAGAGAUAUUGGCAGAUUGAAGGACACUGCGUUAAGCUCUCUCAGCUCAUUUCCAGUGAUUCCGGAAGAUCUUUGGGGAGUGGAUAAGUGGGCGGAUCAUUUGAAUUUCAUGACUCACCCAUUUACUGAUUCUUUCAACAAAUACUUAGUGAAAAUAUAUCAUGUGCUCAAACGAUGCUCUGCUUUGUGUAUGGAAGGAUGGUCCUUUUCCUUAAAAAAUCUCAGCAUCUGUUGGUGUAUUACUAUGUUCUCAUCAAAGUCUGUGUGGGGCAUAGUGGGGGUACUAUACAAGACAAGAGUGGGUAAGUUUACCUGGACCCUGAUGGGGUCAGGAAUAGCCCAUAGGGUUUCUAAGCCUUGUUGAGCCUAGAAAGGUUGAGUAGGCAUUUGCAGGUAGACAAAUAGGAAAGGGCUUUGUGUCCAGUGUGGCCAUAAAGGCUUUUGAGAAAGGAGAAAUUCCAGGCAGCAUGUGGGCAGUGUGAUAAAUCUUUUGAUCUUUGUUUAUGUACAUUUAUAACUAAAAAGCAUCGCUGAGAGUGAUACCUCUUCACUAGCUUUUUCCCUGUGGAAGACGGGGAUGGUAUUUGAAGCUAUCAGGAAAAUGACUUUGAAAUCACCCCUUUUCUCCCACCUUGGGUCCCACUGCCUGAUGUAAAACGUGGGCAAAAACCUACGAAGGCAUAAGGAGGAGAAUUUAACUCUCAUUAGUUUAAUAUUUGGACUAUUCUAAGAAAAAAAGUUCUAUUGUGUGAAAUUCUCUCUCAACGGUGUUAUUUGCGAGGGUGUUGGAAAUGCAGGUACUCUAAGUAGCUUGGAGUACAAAGACCCAAAGCUCUGAGCAUCAGGGGCUACUCACCCUCCCUUAGUUGAGUUCAGAAAAAGCAACUGCAUCUGUAGUGACACAGUCAAAAUAGAGGCCUAAUAUUAUUGAACUUACUUUAUUGUAUAAAUUCAUAUGAUGAAACACAGGAUUAACAUUUAGAAACCAUGUGGAAGGAAUUAGGGAAGGAAGGUAGCUCCUGGUAAGAAUGAUAGUGCAUCUAAGUCUGGGAGACUGGAAAAAAAAAAAAAAAAAACAUUAAAAAAAUUUUUUUUAAACAUUCCACCAUAAAUUGUGUUUU